GGCCACAGCCAUAUCACUCUGCAGCCCAAGACCGAUUACUCACUGAAGCUAAGCAGGGCUGAGCCUGGUCAGUACCUGGAUGGGAGUCCACAUGGGACUAGGUUGCUGUUAAAA
rnacentral:rRNA from 1 species